rnacentral:SRP_RNA from 1 species
GCCAGGCAUGGUGGCACAUGUCUGUGGUCCCAGCCACUCAGGAGGCUGAGGCAGGAGGAUCGGGGAGCCCAGGAGCACCAGGCUGAAGUGCACAAUGCUGACCGAGUGUGCACACUAAGUUUGGCGUCAAUAUGGUGACCUCCCGGGAGAAGAGGACCACCAGGUUGCUGAAGGAGGGGUGAUCCGGCCCAGGUCAGAAACAGAGCAGGUUAAAAUCCCGUGCUGGGCUGGGCGCGGUGGCUCAAGCCUGUAAUCCCAGCACUUUGGGAGGCCGAGACGGGUGGAUCACGAGGU